rnacentral:tRNA from 1 species
UAGGAAGUAGUGUAGUGGGAGCACUAAGAGUUUUGAUCUCUUGAGUAUGGGUUCGAGUCCCUUUUUCCUAA